GGAGAGGUGGCUGAGUGGUCGAAAGCACCGCACUCGAAAUGCGGCGUGCCUGCGAGGGCACGGGGGGUUCGAAUCCCACCGUCUCCGCCA
rnacentral:tRNA from 1 species